GUCUAAAUUUAUUCAAUUGUGACUACUUUUAUACCAUUGACAACAGCGGCCAGGAACAACAGAAUGAGGUAAACUAGCACGCACGGUGCACAACAGGCCGGAUCAAAAUCAAAUAACCAUCUCAAAUUCAUCAAGCAUAGCACAGACAGGAUGUCAAAAUAUAACUACUCUUGAUAUGAUUCAAGACAAAUUCGGAGUAGCAGAUAUUGUUCCAUUAAUAUUCAGAUCGACCAGGCAAAAGUAGCACCACGGGGACAUCCUCUUACAAACCAACCACGACUACACACGAACCAUCAACAGUCCAACGAUUUCCAUCAAGCGCUACUACUAAUACUACUAUAUAUAUCUAGAUAGGCAGGCAGAUCCACGGCGGGGAUCAACAGCGGUCACCAGGAGGGGGGGCGGGCGAACCUAGGAGGAGGUGAACUUGGUGACGGCCUUGGUGCCCUCGGAGACGGCGUGCUUGGCGAGCUCCCCGGGGAGGACGAGGCGGACCGAGGUCUGGAUCUCGCGGGAGGUGAUGGUGGGCUUCUUGUUGUAGCGCGCGAGCUUGGCGGCCUCCCCGGCGAGCUUCUCGAAGAUGUCGUUGAUGAAGGAGUUCAUGAUGGACAUGGCC
rnacentral:lncRNA from 1 species